AUGGGACAAAAAAUAAAUCCACUCGGUUUCAGACUUGGUACAACCCAAAAACACCAUUCCUUUUGGUUCGCACAACCAAAAAAUUAUUCUGAAGAAAUCCAAAAAGAAAUCGAUACGAUCCACGUCAUAAUCCAUAUUGGAUUCCCAAAUUUAUUAAAGAAAAAAGGAGCAAUCGAAGAAUUAGAGAAAGAUCUACAAAAGGAAAUUAACUCUGUAACCAGAGAUUUAAUAUUUCUAUCGAAAAAGUUAAAGAACCUUAUAGACAACCUAACAUUCUUGCAGAAUAUAUAG
rnacentral:rRNA from 1 species